UUAUCAGUUUAAUAUCUGAUAUAUCCUCUAUCUGAGGAUGAUAUGUUAAAUGGAUUUUUGGAGUGGGGAGUUGGAAUAGGAGCUUGCUCUGUCUACUCCACACAUUGAUUUGGUAUUGUAGUACUUCCAGGAGUGGUGCCCCCCCC
rnacentral:snRNA from 1 species